AGUGCCAGGAUGCCAGCGCCUCGCCUGGUCACUGCGGGGACCGCAGCUGGACAGCAGGGAUCCCCCUCAAGCCGGGUUCCAGGAGUUAGGGUCUCCCCAGGAAAGGAGAUUGCGCUCUUCCUAGCCCGGACCCAGGGAAUCCCGUGCCCCGCCCGCAGGGCCCAGGCGCCGCGCCCUCUCCGCGCUCCAGCCUACCGCAGCCCCACCACCCCGUUCCCCGAUCGGCUCCGGACUCCGCGGGCAGCGGGCGCCCCUCGGGGAAAAGCCGUGGAAACACACCCGGAUUGAAAUGCCCCUGGCCCGCCUGACCCGACCCUAGGAGAAGCAGCCGAGUUACCCGACAUCGUGGUCAGCAGGAGCUGGGUCGGUGGCUGGAUGCUGCAGCAGCAGGGACUCAGCGCCUGGGAGGGCUCCUGGGGCAGGGAGAGAAGCAGAGAUGCAACAUUUUUAAAAUUUCACAAAGCAUCCGGCUGCACCCAGGUCCCUGGAACAGGAGACAAACAGAAUUAAUGUUUUAUACCUUCGGGUAUAGGUUUGAGUUUUUUCCCCCUCAUGCCAAGUAUUUAAAACCUCUAGAAACCCAUGAUUUGACAAUCAAUGAUUGCGCGAUACUUUCAAUUUGAAUAUUCAAAGGCUUAACAAAAUGGACUAUCUUCUGCAGAAAUCCUGCACACAGGCACCCCACAGAGAGUCCAGAGAAACAGGGAGUGAGACCCCUUUGGGUCCUGGCCCUUGCUUUUAUUAUAGUUUGAGCAUUUUGUCCUCCUUCCCACAGAUAGAGCAGAUGUCCUCAAAGAUGCUCUGUAUUUCAGCCUUCAGGGCAGCUAAGAAGCCAUGAGUGACUUAGGCUGCCCUGGCCAUGAACACCGGAGCCAGACUGGCUGGCCAGACUGAUUCCCGCAUCCCCCAUCUGUGUUUUGAGGGGAAAUCUCAGGUUUUGAGGAAUGAACAUGGCAGCUAGUGGGUGUGGCACAGCAAGAAGUCGCUCUGGGCCCAGGUGGCAGGCCAGCGGCCUAGCAGAGGCCUUCGCUCUGCACCUCCUAUUUUUCUGGCUCCGCCUGGCUACCAGCGGGCUUCCCUCCCCCUUUCAUCCCGCUCUUCCUGGGCCCGACACUGGGGUUUCUGCUCAGAAUGACUGCCCAUUAAGACCCUUUCCUCCUCCCCACAGAGCUGGGGAUGCCAGGAGCCUCAUCCUCUGGAGACUUUCUGACUCUGGGUUUCACCACCGCACUGCGAAGUGCCCUCUUUGCUUUUUCGCCUUCUAGAGCCACCCCUGCCUUUUUGCUGUAGGAGCACAUGUUAGGAAACAAUGACAAGUUUGGCUCCUGCUCAUUUUAACUGAAAGGAUGUGGACUUAGGUUCAAGCCUUCUCCCAUUGGGGUGAGAAGGGGGAGGGACUUGGGAUCAGGCUUCCCCCUUGGUCCAGGCCCAAGCCCCUCACUAAUGACUUGGGAUUCUACUGGGUCAUCUUCUGUGAGUACUUACUGUGCCUCUUCCAUGUGAUUUGGAAGGUGAGGAGACAGGAAUGGUCCACAGAGGGAGAGAGUGCCAGGCCAAGUCCUCUCAUAGCCACCCGCCCCCUCCACAGAAGGGGACAGCAAGAGAAGAGAGAGGCAUGGUGAGGUUCCUUUUGCAAAUAACCAAGAUAUUUCCAGGAUUCAAGACCAGUCCAUGGUUUUAGGCCUCUGCUGUUUAUUCUCUGAGUUCUCAGAAAUGCAAAAAGUGUAGUUUAGCCCCAGAGGCCUCAAGAAAAAGAUUGGGGUGCCCCCAAAUGUGUCAAAUACAGAGGGAAACACACAGAGCUUAGGGAAAGGGCAACUGAGAAUGACAAGACUGAUAGGAAUUGCUUGGCAGCUGAAGCCACAUCUCUGGGGGAGAGGAGCAGGCCUGGGAACACCUGAGGUGGCACCUGGCAGUGGAGGGCAGGAUGGAUGUAUUGAAAUCUGACAGCUUCUGGAACUUCUUUCUACAAAUGCCCCUGAGCCUGUGUCCUAGGUUUCCCUGAUGGACCAGACCUGAGGAGGGGAAGGACAAUGGGGGUGGAGAUGGCACCUCCCCUCCCUGCAUGCCUUCUUCCUCGCUGUGCCUAGGCCUUGCCCCCUCUGAAGGAACAGUGAACCAAGCAGCUUGGAAUCUAGGGAUGGUCUCUUGUCCUCAUAGCGUCUUCCAUUACUUCUUUUCUUCGCUGCUCUCCUCCUUUUUGUUAUACUCUUAUUUUUUGAUUUGCUUUUAAAAACCUUCUUUGUUGCAUUUUUGUUUAUUUCUUUCUGUGUUUCUUUGUCUCUCUUCCUGUCAUUGCUUUCUUCCAUUUCUUAUCUGUACUACUGGUUUUCUCCCUGGCUUCACGUGUCUCUGUGUUCCCCUAUGCUGGGGUGUCCUCCCAGUGCUUUCAGGCUUCAUCUCCUUCCUAACCUCUCCUUUCUAUUUUUUUUUUUUUUUUUUUUGAGAUGGAGUCUUGCUCAGUCGCCCAGGCUGGAGUGCUAACCUCUCCUUUCAUGUGGAGAUGGACAGGGAUGGCAGGAGCACUGAGUGCUCUUGACAACACCAUUGAAGAUGAUGCUGACGAUCAGCUACCCUGUGGAGAAGGCAGGCCAGGCUGGGUGAGAGGGGAGCUCCUUGGAAGUCAGGGGGUCUGUAAGGACAGCAAGGAUCUCUUUGUCCCAACCUCCAGCAGCCUUUAUGGGUGCUUCUGUGUUGGCCUUGUUUCUGGGAUGGCCAUCUCAGUGCUGUUGCUGGCUAGCGAUUUCAGAAAACUAGAUUUUUCUAGGCCUGAGCCCUGUUUUGAGAAAGAAGCUUCCCUCUGGUUUGUAGCUCAACAUUAAUGAGUUUUGGUUCCUGUUGUUUCUAUAAUUACAAAACCCCAGCACAGGUAUUUAAGAGCCAAAGGCCAUGCUUGUGGAAGUAAGGGAGGAUCUUUCUAAAUGGAUCCUGCAAAUCCUCCUUACAGAUCUGAGUGGAUGAUCAGGCCCAGAGCAACCCUGAGACCCCAGGUACCCACAGCAUUGGCUGUUCUUCAUAGGAGACUCAGAGAAGACUUCAUAGGAGACUCAUUAUUGUUUACUGGACAUCAGGUGCUAUAUUGUAUAGCAUUCACAUUCCACAGGUGAGGAAACAGGCUCAGAGGAAUAAGUGGCAUGCCAAGAUCACUGAGUAUAUCAGUAGCAGAAUUAGGAUUCAGACUUUGUUAGGCCUAACUCCAAAGCCCUGGCUUUUUUUUUUUUUGAGAUGGAAUCUUACUCUGUCACCGGGCUGGAGUGCAGUGGCAUGAUCUCAGCUCACUGCAAUCUCUGCCUCCUGGGUUCAAGUGAUUCCCCUGCCUUAGCCUCCUGAGUAGCUGGGACUACAGGCAUGCACCACCACGCCCAGCUAAUUUUUGUGUUUUUAGUAGAGAGGAGGUUUCACCGUGUUGGCCAGGAUGGUCUCAAUCUCUUGACCUUGUGAUCUGCCUGCCUCGGCCUCCCAAAGUACUGGGAUUAUAGGCAUGAGCCACCAUGCCCGGCCUUUGCUCUUAACUACUGAUGUUGUCUUCCUGAUCUUUUCUACAAGAAGCUUUUAAACUUUUUGGACUUUAACCUACAAUAAGAAAUCCAUUUUACAUGUUCACAUGUAUCUAUAACAACAUUUAUAUUUCUAAAACAAACUUUUCAUGAAACAAGAUAUACCUACAUAUGUCAGGCACUCUGAUAUUUUCUAUUCUAGUCCACCUUUUCCAUUUCAUUCUAUUUAUGGGAAAUAUAUGUUGGUUGGGAGUCACUGAGUUAAUUUAAUGACCCACUAAUAGGCUGUGAGUGGCAUUGGAAAAAUACCUGCUUGUAAGAUAUGCGAACACACGUUUCAAGGUUGUUUGUGCAUGUGGAAAUAUUUUGGGGUGCUAUCUGUUUUACCAUCAGUUUGUACAAGGACACUAAGACAGUGUAGCCUGCUGACUUGAGAAUGUUCUGUAAGGACUGGAAACACUAGAAUCUUGAAGAAACGCCUGGCUAGAGGUGAGGGUAAGCUGUUAAUUACACUGAUUACAGUUUGUGCCUCUCAGACUGAGAACUCUUUUCUUCUUGCUGGGGGCAUUGCUAUCUCUAGGAUGUUUGCCCUGAAGUCCUGAUAGUCUCUUUGGGGUUUUAAUAAAUGGCUGAAAAAAUUGUUGUGGGGUUUCAACAGGCGUUCAUAGGCACCCUUGCUUGGCAAUAUAACAUGGCUUUUGAUGUUUGGGUGUUGGAAGGGAUCUUUGAAGUGCUGAGAGGGACUCAGUCUUUUUCCAAAAUCUCUGCUUGUGUCUGUCCAGCCUCUGGCUCCACUGCUUGGCUGAGAUCCUGGCCCAUAGUAGAAUCUGUGUAGAGGAAACGAGAGCUCACUAUUUGUGAGGCAGCCUGUUCCACUAUUGGACUGCUUUAAAUGUAGUGAUCAGUGAUUAUGCUAUAAUCCAAUCAUGUAUUAAUUGGGCACCAACUAUGCACUAGGCAUGGUAUCAAGUACCAGGAGUACAAAAAUAAGUAAACCUUGAUUUCUGCUAUCAAUUACUCUCUUCUCCUACUUCUGUACUACUGCUUUUCUAUUGUGAGUUUGUUUAGUUCAUUAAUUGGUUUAUUCAUUCAUUCAACAAUCAUAUACUGAUUAGCUACUCUGACCAGGUCCAGUACUAACUCUGAAGAAGUUAUGCCCAUCCCAUCUUCACCCCAAGCCUUCUCCUUUUGAGACUCCUCAUCCAGUUUCUUUAGUUCUUCAUAUAUCACUGUUUUUCAGAUCUCUGGCUAUCCUUGCCAUUGACCUCAGAAAUCCUGUAUUUGACCUUAACCUUCUUAUACCCAGUCCAUACCCAAAGUGAUGGAAAUGGAAUAGAUUUCUUUUUAAAGUUUUAAACGAAUAUUUUGACUGAAAAAUUUUGGCAGUCUUGUAUGCAAAUGACACUGCAGAGCAUUGUUUUCUCCCCCCCACGUAGGAGAUUUUAUUCAACUAAGGCACAGGCAUAUUAAAAGACUUUCAGUAUAAGGAAAAGGGGUAGUUUAUUCCCUCCAAAUUUGACUACAGCUCGAAAUUGUCUUUAUUAAUGCAAAGUUCUUUUGUCACCUUGACUUUGGGACACUGUUACCAAACCUCGUGGGAAAUAUCAAGUUCCAGAAGAUUGAAUACAUGCAGGAAACAAAUGUUUUUUGGGCCCUAGAGUGAACAUUUGGUCCAUAUGAAAAUGACCAGGAAGACAAUUAGGUGAAGGUUUUUUAAUGAUUUGUGCUACGUCAGUCUCUUCCCAUAAGACAUAUUCAAAGUUUUAACUUUUCCUUAAGAGGCUUCCAUGGGGAGCAAGCAUUUGAUAAUUCAUCCUUUAAGAAAAACACCACCGUACACUGCUUGAAGAGUUCCUCUUCUAUUACUUAAAACGUUUUUAUUGUGCAACAUUUAAGGCAUACAAAAACAUAUAAAGAAUACCAUGAUGAAAAUCUAUGACUGUAUUACCAAGCUUAAGAAAUAAAACAGUUGAGUGAUCUCUCAUUUAUGACUAAAUUAACUUAUUAAAACCAUUAAAACUUUUGGAUUAUUCCUGUUAA
ensembl:lncRNA COLCA1 colorectal cancer associated 1